CUACGGGAUGCACCAGUGGGGAAUAUUGGACAAUGGGGGAAACCCUGAUCCAGCAAUGCCGCGUGUGUGAAGAAGGCCUGCGGGUUGUAAAGCACUUUCGGUUGGGAGGACUGCUUCUAGCACUAAUAUUGUUGGAAGUUGACGUUACCUUCAGAAGAAGCACCGGCUAACUCAGUGCCAGCAGCCGCGGUAAUACUGAGGGUGCAAGCGUUAAUCGGAAUUACUGGGCGUAAAGCGCGCGUAGGUGGUUAGAUCAGUUGGGUGUGAAAGCCCCGGGCUUAACCUGGGAACUGCAUCCGAUACUGUCUAGCUUGAGUACAGGAGAGGAGAGUGGAAUUCCACAUGUAGCGGUGAAAUGCGUAGAUAUGUGGAGGAACACCAAUGGCGAAGGCAGCUCUCUGGCCUGAUACUGACGCUGAGGUGCGAAAGCGUGGGGAGCAAACAGGAUUAGAUACCCGUGUAGUC
rnacentral:rRNA from 1 species